GUGAUUUCUAAUACUAUUCCAAAGAAAAUAUAAAAAAUUUGAUUUUAUACUUUUACGUAAGAUUUUUACACAUUUAUUACCUGUUAUCUCCCAAAGCCACCAUGAUCCAAACUUCAUCAUCGCUGAUCAUUCCUCCCUGUGUCGGGAAGAAUACGCAAAUAAACUUUCAGCUUUUAUAAAAUAACGAAGUUCUAGCUCUCUUGG